rnacentral:rRNA from 1 species
GAAACAGUUGCUAAGACUGGAUAGGAAAAGUAAAGGCAUCUUUACUUUUUUAAAAGACCUUCUUUGGAGGUAUGCUUAAGGAGGGGCUUGCGACACAUUAGUUAGUUGGCAGGGUAAAGGCCUACCAAGACUAUGAUGUGUAGCUGGACUGAGAGGUUGAACAGCCACAUUGGGACUGAGACACGGCCCAAACUCCUACGGGAGGCAGCAGUAGGGAAUUUUCGGCAAUGGAGGAAACUCUGACCGAGCAACGCCGCGUGAACGAUGAAGUACCUCGGUAUGUAAAGUUCUUUUAUUAAGGAAGAAAAAAGAGUGGAAAAACUCCCUUGACGGUACUUAAUGAAUAAGCCCCGGCUAAUUAUGUGCCAGCAGCCGCGGUAAUACAUAAGGGGCGAGCGUUAUCCGGAAUUAUUGGGCGUAAAGGGUGCGUAGGCGGUUUAAUAAGUCUAUAGUUUAAUUUCAGUGCUUAACGCUGUUGUGCUAUAGAAACUGUUUUACUAGAGUGAGAUAGAGGCAAGCGGAAUUCCAUGUGUAGCGGUAAAAUGCGUAAAUAUAUGGAGGAACACCAGAGGCGUAGGCGGCUUGCUGGGUCUUUACUGACGCUGAGGCACGAAAGCGUGGGGAGCAAACAGGAUUAGAUACCCUGGUAGUCCACGCCGUAAACGAUGAGUACUAAGUGUCGGGUAAAACCGGUACUGAAGUUAACACAUUAAGUACUCCGCCUGAGUAGUACGUACGCAAGUAUGAAACUUAAAGGAAUUGACGGGACUCCGCACAAGCGGUGGAUCAUGUUGUUUAAUUCGAAGAUACACGAAAAACCUUACCAGGUCUUGACAUUUUCUUGCGAAGUUAUAGAAAUAUAAUGGAGGUUAUCAGGAAAACAGGUGGUGCAUGGUUGUCGUCAGCUCGUGUCGUGAGAUGUUAGGUUAAGUCCUAAAACGAGCGCAACCCUUGUCGUUAAUUGCCAGCAUGUAAUGAUGGGGACUUUAACGAGACUGCCAAUGAAAAAUUGGAGGAAGGUGGGGAUUACGUCAAAUCAUCAUGCCCCUUAUGAUCUGGGCUACAAACGUGAUACAAUGGUUGAUACAAAGAGUAGCUGAAACGCGAGUUCUUAGCCAAUCUCACAAAAUCAAUCUCAGUUCGGAUUGAAGUCUGCAACUCGACUUCAUGAAGUUGGAAUCGCUAGUAAUCGCGAAUCAGCAUGUCGCGGUGAAUACGUUCUCGGGGUUUGUACACACCGCCCGUCA